GCCGUCAUACGGAGUAAGGACGCAUCUGACGUUUUUAUCGAAAAUGAGUUUCAUACUGAUUCGGAAUCAGGAGAAUAAGACGCAUCUGCUAGUAUUUUUAAAGUUUUCUAAAACAAACGCAACCUAUAAAAUCUAACUGCAAAAUAGGACGUAUCUGCAAUAUUUCACUAAUAAUACUAAUUUGGAUGGACCUUUCUGUUCUAUAAUAAAUUGAAAAGACAUAUUUAAAUAGAAAUGUCUUUUUUUAACACAGUUUUUGUAAUGUGUCAUAUAAUGAAAAGGCAUUUCUAUAUUGUAAUAAAAAGAAAAGUCGGAUUGGCGAAGAUGUGCCUCUUUAUGUUAGCAUUGUUCACUUAUGUAUACCAGGAUGUAAAACUACCUAGACGCAAGUGGCAGUAGCGUCCUUUUUUCGUAGUAUCGUUUGAUGUGCGGGGACUGCGGGGUAAAGGAGGAGUUCGUGGCACGUUGUCCGCACAAUCAGUUGCGCCUAGGCAGCCGAGGCGAAAGCCGACGUCUAUGCGACGCUCGUCUCCGUGUUUUUUACGGAAAUAUGUCUAAUCAAGCGAGAUCUUCGAGGUGCUCAAAAAUAAUUUCGUUAGUACAACCAACUAGUUCCAGUGAAACUAAUUACUUCAAUAACGAAAUUUUGAAUAACGAUGCUAUGGAUAACCAAAUGUUGAAUCAUGAUACUUUUGAGAUUUUGAAUAGCCUGAUUUUGAAUAACGAGAUUUUGAAUGACGAGAUUUUAAAAUAAAAAUUGAUUUAAUUGAAUUUUGAUUCAGACGAUUCAAUUUUUGAUAAAGAUUUUAUACCUUCAAGUUUAGAACUACAAAAAAGUUCCGAAGAUUCAGACUGCUCAAUGGACAUCAUUCCUAACUCUCAGCCGAUUAAUAUUAUCAUUCCGGAGUCACCCGAAGAGUCUCAUCAAGAUUGUUCGGAAAAUCUAACGAAGAAAGGGCAAGUUAGGAAACGUAAAAAGUAUGACAAGACACCAGCACAGAGGAAACAAAUGAAAAAAAAUGCAAAUAUGGAAAAUAAGUAUCAGUUAAAACCUGGAUGUAAUAUGAUUACUAAGUCAAGAUUAAUAGGGAUUAAGCAGCCAUGAAAACAUUUAUUUAAUUAGAAAGAAGAACUAAUAGAAUAAGUUUUUUAUGUAGUUGAUUUGAUUUCAAUUGGAGUGAUCUCAAACAAUUCUUUUGGAAUGUUCACUAAAUCCCAAGCAUAAUUUCAUAGAAUUUCAAGAAGUGGGCCCUCAGGAACAUAUGUAUACUAAAUACUCUGAAUUUAUUGAGCUACCAAAGCUGUGAUUGUCGUUUUAGUACUGUAAAUUUUUAAAAUUUGCAAACUUUCAGUAUAAGUAUAAUUUCUUAUUAGACUUUUGUGAUGUUUAAUUAUUAUGUCAAUAUAAAAGAAAUUAUUUCGUAA